GAGGGGGGGGGGCAGCGUUAGGCUGCUCGGGACGACGCAGCGGUGACCGGUCAGCGAGCUCUAGGCCACGGCGGUGUCGCCGGGCAGCAGCGGCGGCGUGUGUGGCUUCCGAACACAGCAGCGACGGCUGCCCGGAAGAGACAGCAGCGGCGGCUGUCCGGCAGAGGCCCUCUCCGCGAAAAGGUAUCGGGAUUCAAGGCGUGACUAUUGAGCAAGAUCCGAAGGGCAUGGAGAGUAUUUUAUUUUUAGUAAAUCUUUACUUAAACGUUGAAUUCGUGUACGGGCUUUUUAUUUGAAACUCGGUCUUCACAAACGGACUUUUAUUAGAGCAAACUUUAUAUUGAAAUAUUAUUAUUUUUA